rfam:Brachypodium distachyon strain Bd21 chromosome 1, whole genome shotgun sequence.
AGUGUACUCCCUCCAUCCAGAAAUAAGUGACUCGGAUUUGUCUAGAUUCGUAUGUAUCUAGACGUGUUUUCGUGUAUAGAUACAUGCGAAUCUAGUCAAAUCCGAGUCACUUAUUUCCGGAUGGAGGAAGUACAAU